rnacentral:rRNA from 1 species
GAAGGGGGCUAGCGUUGCUCGGAUUGACUGGGCGUAAAAGGGCUCGUAGGCGGUCCAUUCGCGUCGGGAGUGAAAAGCUGGGGCUUAACCCCCAGUCCUGCUUUCGAUACGGGUGGACUAGAGGUAGGCAGGGGAGAACGGAAUUCCUGGUGGUGAGCGGUGGAAAUACGCAGAUAUCAGGAGGAACACCGGUGGCGAAGGCGGUUCUCUGGGCCUUACCUGACGCUGAGGAGCGAAAGCGUGGGGGAGCAAACAGG